rnacentral:rRNA from 1 species
GAUGAACGCUGGCGGCGUGCCUAACACAUGCAAGUCGAACGGAGAAACGCCGAGCUUUUUGGUGUGAGGGUAGCGGCGGCCGGGGGGGUAAUAAGUCGAUAGUAACCUUCUCCCUCCUGGUGGAUAACGGCAUGAAAGUGCUGCUAAUACAGGAUAUUCUGAACCGGUCGGAUCAUGGGUGUUAGAAAGAUUUGGUGUCGGUGUGAGAUGGAUUCGCGGCGGAUUAGCUAGUUGGUAGGGUGACGGCGUACCAAGGCGGCGAUGAGUAGCCGGCCUGAGAGGAUGGUCGGCGACACUGGAGGUGAGACACGGCCGAGACGCCUACGGGAGGCAGCAGCAGGGAAUAUUCUAGCAUGGGCGGAAGCCUGCUGAAGCAGCGCCGCGGGGGUGAAGAAGGAGUUCUGCUGGUAGAGCACCUCUUUUGGGAAAGAAGAAGGGCUGCCUAAUCUGUGGAUGUGUUGACGGUAGCUAAAGAAGAAGCGCCGGCUAACUACGUG